CGUUGUCUAUGUAGUUUGUUAAUUACAAGGGUUUUGUUUUGCGUAAAGUACAUCCAUUUAAAAUUUUAGUCUAAAGCAUGAGGUAGAAAUUCGACCAAAAGAAAAGAUAGAAAUAUUUAAAUAUUGAAGACUAACGAAAAACAUCGCAGAGAAAUUGGUUUAGACAUUGCGAAGAUAAUACUUAAAACUGUGCAAUGAAAACUGAACACUGCAAACAUUUUCUGUUCGCACUGAUGCUACUUACCGUCAUUUAUAUAGCAGCUUAUAUGUUCUGGAUAAACUACUACACACCAUCAAUAUUUACCGUACUCAAACACUUAACAAUCCUUCCGACGAUGACAAUGUACGAAAAGCCUAGAGAGAGCCUUCUUUCGCUUCAAGUAGCACCUCAUAACCGGAUAUUCAGUACAGGCUGGUGGAGUUCUUAUUCUCAUUGGUCAUUAAAGAAGAUGUGUUAUGAUGGAGUGUGUUAUCCGACACUAAAAGCACAAUGUUCACGAACGGGUAAUCAAAUAUUCCAGUACAUACCGAUUAAAACGAAAGCCUUGCUCAGAGGAAUUAACAUUUCAAUGGAAGUUGUUGGAAAAAAAAAAUCCUCCGCAUCUAGAAUGACUUUGUUGGUUGGAAUUAGGUUUAGUAACGGCACUUUAAAGUUGUUAAGGCGCUCGUCUGUACUUGAUUUUGUAUUGGAACCAUCACCAAUAAGAUUACUGUAUAUAUCCCCACCCGAAGUCACAAUCUGGGGAAUAAUUUUGAUGUUGGAAUGUAGAGGCAAGGUUUCAGACGCCGGUUUCAAAAAUGUCGUCGUCUUUCCUAUUUCAGGAUUACAAACGGCCAGCUCUUUGUCGCGUAGUGAUGUUGUGGACACUUGUUUUCAAGAACCAGAAAGAGCAUUGGACAUACGACCCUGCUAUCUGAAUGUGGAACCUAUCUUGGUACCACCAGAAACAUUAGCCAAUGAAUCGUCUGUAACUCUUGCAACUCAACUAACGAUGAGUAGGUUAAAACUCCUCAACCAAACAAUGGUGCCAUGGGAGGGAGCCGUCUCUAUUGCGGUGUUUCUUCCUGCAUUUGGGAAAAAAGAUGAAGCACGAGUGCUUUCUGAAAGAAAUAUGGUGUCUAAAUUUAUCGAGCAUCAUAAUCUUGAAAAACGUGGACAAGUUACUAUUGUUGUCGGAAACUGCACUUCUGAAAACUAUCCCAUCAACACCUUGAGGAAUAUUGCCAUUAGAGAGGUGAAAACAGAAUUUUUGCUUCUACUGGACGUAGACUUUCAACCUUCGGCUGACCUACAGAGCAACGCUUUGAGGACUAUACGGUCUUGGCCAACUGUUGAUAAAACAGCGUUUGUUGUACCAGGGUUCGAAUUUCGUGGGAAAUUGAAGGAAAAUAGUUUUCUCCCCCGAACAAAGUCUGAGCUUGUAAGAAGUAUAUUUCAGAAGAACCACAAGAUUCAGCCAGUCAAAUAUAAAGAAGGAAAAAGUCACACACUAACGAACUACAGUAGGUGGUAUAGAGAAGAAGAACCUUAUAUUCUAGAGUCUUUUGGUGAUAUGUACGAGCCGUACGUACUUCUCAAGAACACCCCCAGUUUACCACUAUACGACGAACGAUUUCGAGGAUAUGGAAUGGAUAAAAUAACUUAUAUAAUGGAACUAUGUGCUGUCAGGCUAUCAGUUUGUUGUCCUACCUGAUGUUUGGAUUACGCAUCUACCUCAUCCACGAAACCCACUUCUAGGCAAACUAAUGUCGGACGCUGAGUUCAAACUCAGAAACAGGAUGCAAAGAUUUGAAUUCCUACACUCCCUUAUAGCAAGAUACAAUAUCUCAAGAUGCUGAUGUUUGUCUUCGCUAAACCUGAACUUUUAUUAUCCAAUUCAUGACAGAAACAACCAUUUUGAAUCGUAGAUCGUGACCCAAAAUAGAUUUGAUAACGAAAAUCAUAUGCUGGAACUCUGGAUAAAUAGCUAAAUAAACUUUUGUACCACAUGCUCAUUAGCUUUUAUUGUUUGU